UGCCAGCAGCCGCGGUAAUACGUAGGGUGCAAGCGUUAAUCGGAAUUACUGGGCGUAAAGCGUGCGCAGGCGGUUAUGUAAGACAGAGGUGAAAUCCCCGGGCUCAACCUGGGAACUGCCUUUGUGACUGCAUAGCUGGAGUGCGGCAGAGGGGGAUGGAAUUCCGCGUGUAGCAGUGAAAUGCGUAGAUAUGCGGAGGAACACCGAUGGCGAAGGCAAUCCCCUGGGCCUGCACUGACGCUCAUGCACGAAAGCGUGGGGAGCAAACAGGAUUAGAUACCCUGGUAGUCC
rnacentral:rRNA from 1 species